UGAAACGUGAGGAAGUCAGGAUGGCUGUUUU
rnacentral:piRNA from 1 species